rnacentral:rRNA from 1 species
GUAGUGCACGCCGUAAACGAUGUCAAGCAGCCGUUGGGAGCCUUGAGAUUUUAGUGGCGCAGCUAAAGCAUUAAGUUGAUCACCUGGGGAGUAAGGCCGCAAGGUUAAAACUCAAAUGAAUUGACGGGGGCCCGCACAAGCGGUGGAGCAUGUGGUUUAAUGUGAAUCAAAGUGAAGAACCCUCCCUGGCCUUGACAUCCAAUGAACUUUCCAAAGAAGGAUUGGUUCCUUCGGGAACAUUGAUCCAGGCAGCACAUUGCUGUUUUCAGCUCCUUUCUUGAGAUGUUGGGUUAAGUCCCGUAACGAGCCCAACCCUUGUCCUUAGUUACCAGCACGUAAUGGUGGGCCCCAUAAGGAGAUAUCCGGUGACAAACCGGAGGAAGGGGGGGAGGACGGCAAGUCAUCAUGGCCCUUACGGCCUGGGCUACACACCCGGUUCAAUGGUCGGUCCAGAGGGUUGCCAAGCCUCGAGGUGGAGCUAAUCCCAGAAAACCGAUUGUAGUCCGGAUCGCAGUUUGCAACUCGACUUUGUGAAGUUGGAAUCGCUAGUAAUCGCGAAUCAGAAUGUCGCGGUGUACCGUUCCCGGGCCUUGUACACACCGCCCGUCACCCCAUGGGAGUGGGUCCACCAGAACGUAGCUAGUCUAACC